CGCCAAGUCCGAGACUCCGGUGCUCAUCGGGGUCUGGUGCGAAAGGGA
rfam:Streptomyces rubrolavendulae strain MJM4426, complete genome.